GUUGGGUAGGGGAGCGUUCUGUAAGCCUGUGAAGGUGGCCUGUGAGGGUUGCUGGAGGUAUCAGAAGUGCGAAUGCUGACAUAAGUAACGAUAAAGCGGGUGAAAAGCCCGCUCGCCGGAAGACCAAGGGUUCCUGUCCAACGUUAAUCGGGGCAGGGUGAGUCGACCCCUAAGGCGAGGCCGAAAGGCGUAGUCGAUGGGAAACGGGUUAAUAUUCCCGUACUUGGUGUUACUGCGAAGGGGGGACGGAGAAGGCUAUGUUGGCCGGGCGACGGUUGUCCCGGUUUAAGCGUGUAGGUGUGUGUUCCAGGUAAAUCCGGUUCACUUUAACACUGAGGCGUGAUGACGAGGCACUACGGUGCUGAAGCAACAAAUGCCCUGCUUCCAGGAAAAGCCUCUAAGCAUCAGGUAACAUCAAAUCGUACCCCAAACCGACACAGGUGGUCAGGUAGAGAAUACCAAGGCGCUUGAGAGAACUCGGGUGAAGGAACUAGGCAAAAUGGUGCCGUAACUUCGGGAGAAGGCACGCUGACAUGUAGGUGAAGUGAUUUACUCAUGGAGCUGAAGUCAGUCGAAGAUACCAGCUGGCUGCAACUGUUUAUUAAAAACACAGCACUGUGCAAACACGAAAGUGGACGUAUACGGUGUGACGCCUGCCCGGUGCCGGAAGGUUAAUUGAUGGGGUCAGCGCAAGCGAAGCUCCUGAUCGAAGCCCCGGUAAACGGCGGCCGUAACUAUAACGGUCCUAAGGUAGCGAAAUUCCUUGUCGGGUAAGUUCCGACCUGCACGAAUGGCGUAAUGAUGGCCAGGCUGUCUCCACCCGAGACUCAGUGAAAUUGAACUCGCUGUGAAGAUGCAGUGUACCCGCGGCAAGACGGAAAGACCCCGUGAACCUUUACUAUAGCUUGACACUGAACAUUGAGCCUUGAUGUGUAGGAUAGGUGGGAGGCUUUGAAGUGUGGACGCCAGUCUGCAUGGAGCCGACCUUGAAAUACCACCCUUUAAUGUUUGAUGUUCUAACGUGGACCCGUAAUCCGGGUUGCGGACAGUGUCUGGUGGGUAGUUUGACUGGGGCGGUCUCCUCCUAAAGAGUAACGGAGGAGCACGAAGGUUGGCUAAUCCUGGUCGGACAUCAGGAGGUUAGUGCAAUGGCAUAAGC
rnacentral:rRNA from 1 species